rnacentral:rRNA from 1 species
AAACUUUCAGCAACGGAUCUCUUGGUUCUGGCAUCGAUGAAGAACGCAGCGAAAUGCGAUAAGUAAUGUGAAUUGCAGAAUUCAGUGAAUCAUCGAAUCUUUGAACGCACAUUGCGCCCGACAGUACUCUGUCGGGCAUGCCUGUCCGAGCGUCAUUU